rnacentral:lncRNA from 1 species
AGGCUGUCUCAUUACUCACAGGAACUGACGAGCUAGUAAGGCCUGGUUUAGAUCUAAAAAGUUUUUGGAUUUUGGUACAAUAGCAUUUUCGUUUGUAUUUGGUAAUUAUUGUCUAAUCAUGAGCUAACUAGGCUUAAAGAUUUGUCUUGCAAAUUAUAGGCAAAUUAUGCAAUUUGUUAUUUUUUUAUCUAUAUUUAAUGCUUCAUACAUGAGCCACAAAAUUUGAUGUGAUGAAAAAUCUUGAAAAAUUUUUGGAUUUUGGAUAGAAAACAAGGCAUGAUAUAUGGUGGCAACAUACACGAAAAGUACAGAUAGUACACAUGCGUUCAGAGUCCCAACACCAAUAAGCCAACUAGCAAUUAAGCUCCAGCCAAAUUUGGAGAUGCCCCAUCAAAGAGAAACCGAGAUUCUGAUGUUUCGAAAUUGUCCAAGCUCCCAGGAUUAUAAUAAAGUUGAUCUAUUUUCGGCUUUAAUUCUGAUGCUCAAGAAAACUAUGUUUAAGCUAGCAAUGAACACUUAAAAGCACAUGAAAGGUAUUCCAAUUACUUCCAGAAGAUAAACUUGUGAAAGGUGGCAGCAGCUGCGCCUCAAAUGUUCUCCCCAUCCCCAUGUUUAAUGUAUAGUAUUAACUCAAGUUUCACCAUGAAGAUUGUACACACACACAAAAAAAAACAAAAAAUGCAUCAGCAUACCACAGUAUACUUCAAAUCCUUUUUCAAUUCCAGAUCUUAGCUGAAGAAUGUUGUACAGAUCAAAAGUCCCCACAGCACUCAUGUGCCACCACCACCAUGUCCCUUCUGUCAAAUGUUGACCAUGAGAAUGACUAAUAUCCCCAGACUCUGCCUGGAUAAUGUUACUGCAAGUUUAACAUGUAAAAUGGAGGCCCCGGAUGACUGGAUCAAAACUAGACUGACUAUAAUCAAGUAAAAACUCGUGUCUGCCAUCCUUAUCCCACUGCAAACAACAGUAAAAUAAUUACUAAUAAGGGUGUUUAGCAGACAAAGUAUAACAACAGUAGCACCCAAAAGUUGUAUAGCAAAACAGUCUUUUAUCUGAUAUGUCACUAGAACCUUUGUGUGACUAGAUGAUGAUCUGCUCUACUCCAUCGAGAUUACCGUGGAAAAAGAACAUUGUAUUGUAGUAACCAAUAAUCACACUGACAUUAUCACAAAUACACAGAAGAAGACAAACGAUUGCUCAAAUAUCUCUAUGUGUUUGCUAUAAUCAUUUAAUAUUUUUCAUUAUAAGGUUUUAUGAUUACUGAUUACAAACAUUACUCUCAGUGCACAAUUUAUUCUCUAAUCUCAGUUCAUAUCUGCAACUAGAACUACGGGUCUGUUUGGUUCCCUGUAUAACCCCCUAGUCAGGCUUGCACAAUACUAGUUGGACUUAUUUGGUUCGUUGUCCUGCCUCCAAGCCUGUUUUGCGGAAGCCCAAAACGCACGGAUUCGCUGGCUUAGGGGAAACGCCUGAAUCGGCCUUCUUCGCAGAGCCAGGCUCCGGCCUCCCGUGCCCCCUCUCCUUGGCUCAACUUAGCUAGCAUAUAAAACUGGGACGAGCUAUCUGGGUGCAUUAGGGUUACCUCUAAUGUCCACCUGCCCCGCUGCUCUACACUCUCCUCUCACUCGCAGCUCUCUUCCUCCCUCCUCUAUCGCCGCCGCUAGGGUUCCCGCGGGUGCCUCGAUCCCAGGAGGUUGUAGGGCUUCCCCAGGUCGUCGCCGGUGAGAAGAUCCGGCUCUUACGAGAUCAACCCAACCUCGCAAGGGUUUCCUCUUCCUUCCUUCCUUCUCUCCUAGUGGAUCUGUUCAUCGACUAAUGCUCUGUUCUGUUAUCUUCGAAUCCACAUGGUUAGAGUUUGUUUGGUCUGAACAUUUUGUCGAUUAUUGAAAGUUGCUCCCUAUUUGUACCCCCACCUGUUAUGAGAUUAAUAUUAUCGUUUUUGCUGAGUUAUUUGGGUAUGGUCAAUGAUGUUUGCUUGAAUCUGGGUGGCGCAUUUUGGGUGUCGCAGCCGAUUCAUGCUUAAGUUAUUCUAGAUUAGGGUUUGUUCAUAGACAUGCACCAGCUAAUUCAUGGACUCAUGUCUUGCUUAGUGCUAUGGAUCCUGCUGUUAGGCGUCGUCAGCUUGUGAUUAGAGGAGCUUCACUGGUUGCUGUGAUUAGUGCUUGGAUGUUUGUUUGAUUUAGGAGGAUGUCCCGAACUAGGAGAGGCAUCACUUACGGUCCUAUGCCCGCCAGGGAUAGGGAAAGGAUGAACAAUCUCAGGUUCAUCUAUCACAGUGAUGAUGUUCGCUGUGUUGAGCUCCUUAGGAUGAAAAGGGCUCCUUUUUUCCAGUUGUGUGACCUAUUCAGGCAGAGGGGUCUUCUUAAAGACAACAUCAACAGUAACAUUGAGGAGCAAGUAGCAAUGUUCCUGCAUGUUGUAGGGCAUAAUCAAAGAUUCAGGGUUAUCAAGAUGACAUUUAGGAGAUCCAUUGAAACCAUUAGUAGGUACUUCUAGCAAGUCCUCUGGGCAGUAGGAGAGCUGAGGGCGGAAAUGAUUCAACCACCAGCAACUUCUGUGCCUACCAAAAUCCAGAACAGUAGGAAGUGGAAUCCUUUUUUAAGGUUGGGCAUUUGUUCUUUUUAUUAGUCGUUUAGUCUCCCUUUUUCUGUUACCUUCCUAAUGUUGAAUUGGUCGUUCCUUUAGGACUGCGUGGGAGCCAUUGAUGGCACCCAUGUUCUAGCUAGAGUCCCUACUAAGCAAAGAGCAGCAUUCAUGGGGAGGAAGUAUACCACUACACAGAACGUGUUAGCCGCUGUAGAUUUUGAUCUAAGGUUUUGCUAUGUACUUGCUGGGUGGGAGGGAUCUGCACACGAUGCCCUGAUUCUAGCAGAUGCAAUACAGAGGGAGGAUGCACGAACUGACAUUGCUGCUCCAGUUCCUGCAACACAACAAACCAAUUUCAGGUGAUGGUACUACAAACUGACAUUGCUGCUCUAGUUCCUGCAACACAACAAACCAAAGUUCGAUGGCAUCAAAGACUCACCUGAUUUGGGCAACCAAAAAAAUGCCUUCCAGUGUGCCUGCCCCCAGGCCUUCUUCAGAUUGGCGAACCGACCACAGGAGCACUUGGGGAGGUACACAGUCCCCAUUCCUGCCCAAUCGUCCUCAGUCAGGGCAUCAGGGAUCAGUGAAUCAGA